rnacentral:snoRNA from 1 species
GAGAUCUUACUUCUAGGGAUCAUUUCUAUAGUACAUAUCACCAGGAUCACAGACAGACUUGACUAUCAAUCAGUGAGAUAGCUCAAAACUGC